GGAUGUGAGGGCGAUCUGGCAGGAACAUCUGUCACCCCAUUGAUCACCAGGCUUGAUUCGGCUGAUCUGGCCAGCUUGGAAGGUAUCCUUUUCCCUCCUCACCACUCCAUGUGCACCCUCCCCCAAGAUGCACACCCUGCCAAAGAGGAUGAUCUUCCCCAAUAGAAGAGGACUGGUCUUCAGUCAAGGGUAUACGAGUAGAUGCAGUCUCCUAUCUGAACCUCCAAACAAGCUCUCAAAAGCAAAUCAAACCUAAAGUAAGCAGAUGGAUGGAUGGAU
rnacentral:sRNA from 1 species